AGGCAGCCUCAGAGACCAAAAAAAAAAGCAAAUACAGUACAGUACUGUGUUAAACAUAAACUAUUAACAAAAUAAAGGGAAAGUUUUAAAAAUAAGAUUUAACAAGGGUAAGGAAAUGUUUCUGUACUAGUUUCAUUUAAAUUGAGAUGGUUAAAAGCAGGAUUUU